UGGCAUUUAACAUUUUGUGGGAUUUAGGAUAUUUUUUAGGAAAUUUCAUAGAUUCAUUAGGUUUUCUUUAAAACCUUAUAAUUAAGAGAGUUUUGGAGUGAAUUUUUUGAUAACGUAGCUUUUUUUUUUUUGUCCACACAUUGAAGCAAAUAUGAGUCUAGCUAGAUGGGUUAUAAUAUGAUCUUAUUGUCCAUGGUGACAAUCCCUGGUGGUUAUGUUUCUUUCUUAUUGUCACAAUCUGAUAAAUGGCUUAUAAACUCAUGCGAUCAUUUCUUGUGGUUCAAUUGUCAACUGAAGAUGAAUGUUUC
rnacentral:lncRNA from 1 species